rnacentral:rRNA from 1 species
UACGUAGGGUGCAAGCGUUGCCCGGAUUUACUGGGCGUAAAGAGCGCGCAGGCGGUCGUUCAAGUCGCGUGUGAAAGCCCCCGGCUCAACUGGGGAGGGUCACGCGAUACUGAUCGACUCGAAGGCAGGAGAGGGUAGUGGAAUUCCCGGUGUAGUGGUGAAAUGCGUAGAUAUCGGGAGGAACACCAGUGGCGAAGGCGACUACCUGGCCUGUUCUUGACGCUGAGGCGCGAAAGCUAGGGGAGCAAACGGG